rnacentral:snRNA from 1 species
AUACUCUGCUUUCUCUUCAGAUUGUAUAACUCUUUUGCCUUUUACUAAAGAUUUUUGUGGAGAGGAACAUUUAUGAGUUUGUAGCUAAUUUUUGAGG